rnacentral:rRNA from 1 species
CACGUAGGGCGCGAGCGUUGUCCGGAAUUAUUGGGCGUAAAGAGCUCGUAGGCGGUGUGUUGCGUCGGCCGUGAAAACCUGCAGCUUAACUGUGGGCUUGCGGUCGAUACGGGCAUCACUGGAGUUCGGCAGGGGAGACUGGAAUUCCUGGUGUAGCGGUGAAAUGCGCAGAUAUCAGGAGGAACACCGGUGGCGAAGGCGGGUCUCUGGGCCGAUACUGACGCUGAGGAGCGAAAGCGUGGGGAGCAAACAGG